rnacentral:rRNA from 1 species
UUGACGGGGGCCCGCACAAGCGGUGGAGCAUGUGGUUAAUUCGAAGCAACGCGAAGAACCUUACCAGGUCUUGACAUCCCGAUGCUAUUUCUAGGGAUAGAAGUUACUUCGGUACAUCGGUGACAGGUGGUGCAUGGUUGUCGUCAGCUCGUGUCGUGAGAUGUUGGGUUAAGUCCCGCAACGAGCGCAACCCCUAUUGUUAGUUGCCAUCAUUCAGUUGGGCACUCUAGCGAGACUGCCGGUAAUAAACCGGAGGAAGUGGGGAUGACGUCAAAUCAUCAUGCCCCUUAUGACCUGGGCUACACACGUGCUACAAUGGUUGGUACAACGAGUUGCGAGUCGGUGACGGCGAGCUAAUCUCUUAAAGCCAAUCUCAGUUCGGAUUGUAGGCUGCAACUCGCCUACAUGAAGUCGGAAUCGCUAGUAAUCGCGGAUCAGCACGCCGCGGUGAAUACGUUCCCGGGCCUU